rnacentral:rRNA from 1 species
GUGGUUAGUUGCCAGCAAGUAGCGUUGGGCACUCUAGCCAGACUGCCGGUGAUAAAUCGGAGGAAAGGUGGGGACGACGUCAAAUCAUCAUGCCCUUUAUGUCCUGGGCUACACACGUACUACAAUGGCCGUUACAACGGGAAGCGAAGGAGCAAUCCGGAGCAAAUCCCUUAAAGGCGGUCCCAGUUCAGAUUGUGGGCUGAAACUCGCCCACAUGAAGGCGGAAUUGCUGGUAAUUGCAGAUCAGCAUGCUGCCAGUCGAAUACGUUCCCGGGCCUU